rnacentral:sRNA from 1 species
GGUGCGACUCGAGCGCCAGCGAGAAAGCGUUGCCGCAGGCAACGACCCGAAGGGUGAAGCGCGCAGCGCUGAGUAAUCCUUCCCCCACCACCA